rnacentral:lncRNA from 1 species
UAUGAUGAGAGUUUUUAUUGUUCUUACCUACAGUGUUCUUGAUUGAAAUGAUGUUAACCUAGUUUUAAUCAAUGAAAAACAAGAACUUGAAGUCCUAUAAACUGAAGAAUAAUAUCCUUUGGCAGUAAGUGGUGAUAAACUUACUAGAAGCCACUAGAGGCACGCACCUGCUUAGUGCUCAUGUUUGCUUCUCUUCCAACCUGCCUGGAGAAAGAACAUCCUUCUAGAGGAAAACUGGAGGUUUCUGUCAAUCAAGACGUGAAAUGAGGCUCCACAGCCAGGGACAUCCCUCUCCUCUCCCUUUGCCAGCUGGUCAGGGUCUUCCCCUCAACUUGCUCGGAGGCCUUAUCUUUCAGUAUCCAUCGUUACACUGAUCUGCACUGAAUUCUUGA